AUCGAACGCUGGCGGCAGGCUUAACACAUGCAAGUCGAGCGAGCGGCGGACGGGUGAGUAAUGUAUGGGGACCGCCCGAUCUAGGGGGAUAACUACUGGAAACCGUGGCCAAUACCGCAUUUUGUCGGAUAAUCCUUAUGGGAUGGGCUAGUAGGUUAGGUAAUGGCUUGCCUAGGCGACGAUCCCUAGCUGGUCUGAGAGGAUGAUCGGCGGCACUGUGACUUGGACACGGCGCUGACGCCUACGGAGGAAGCGAUGGAGAAGAUUGCGCAAUGGGCGCAAGCCUGAAACAGCGAUGCAGCGAGUAGGAAGGAGGCCCUAGGGUUGUAGAGUACUUACAGUCGGGAGGCGUUACCGGCAGAAGAAGCACCGGCUAACUACGUGCCAGCAGCCGCGGUAAUUC
rnacentral:rRNA from 1 species